CCUGUAUACCAGUGCUAUUUAAAGGAAAAGAAUUGCAGUGAAGUAAUAGUUUGACGGCUCCUGAACUGCAGUGUAUACUCCUAGAUGAACCAAAGAUUGAUAAAUUCAAGCAAAGCAUGAGAAUUAUCAGACUAAAAAUAUGAAUGAGUUGAGAUUACAGCAGGAUUCAGAGAUAAGCAGAACUGCCAAAACUAAGCCUGGAAGAUUUAAAUUAUUAAUGAGGUCUUGAUAGAUGUAAUUUACUACAUACUCUCUG